AGAAAAAAUAGAAAUAUUAGUCCAAAUAAUCUCUCUUAAGUGCUGGACAAUAUACUUAGCUAUCCAAUUCAUAGUAUUGUUCGUCUGAUGAUGAUAAACAUAUCAGAUAUCCAUAAAGAUGUGUCCUCUUACAAUCCUCCGGAUGUCAUGGAUGAAUGGAUACUAAGCAGAUCCAUGGCUCUGCAUCCAACCCACCACAGUGGCAAAUCCCUCUCAAAAAAAUUAUUCCCAUUAUCCAUUUCCUUGCAUAUUAAAACUAGUGCACUGGGUGACUCGCACACCAAGAUUCGCAGAGAACCUAUAAUGCUAGUAGAUGUAUGGUCACACGCAGGACCUGAGUUUGUAUAACACCAUGAAAGGGUGCCUUGUCUGGAAGUCUGUAACACUCUCUGUUGGAAAGCAUAUCUCCAUCCGGGGGUAGAGGUUUCCCGUUGGCUGUCGCUGUUAUCCCAAGUAUUCUAGACCAUGCUACAGAACCGGAUCGUUCCUUGGUAGAUCGCCAUGGACUCCCAAAAGACUGUUGAGAUGGUCCAUGGCGACGUUACAUUACUUGGGCUAUGCGUCUAAUCCUAUUCGUUCUCUCGUCUUCUCUCUCUCAUUGCAUCAACUUGACGCCAUCAAGUCUCCACAG
rnacentral:lncRNA from 1 species